GUGCUUAGACAAUAAGAGGGGUGUUCAAACCAAACUAUUUUUUUCCUUUAUAAACAGAUUGGGCCUAAGCCCAGAGGAGAAGGGGGUGAGACUUAGCAGAAAUGGGGGUGCGCAGGGAAAGAAAGGGUUUUUAGACAGAUUGGACUUGAGCCCAAAGAGAGUGGGGGUGUGAGAGCUAAAGCAGGGGGUGGGUCUGGGAAUAUUAUUCCUUUUUAUUUUAAAGCAAGGGAAAGGGAAUGGAUCUGGCCCGAGAAGCCUGGCCCAAGGUUGUUCAGCAGAAGCAAUUAGGGGUUCACUCCUUAUUCUAUCAUUUGCAUCCAAUACCAAGAGACCCAAGUCUCUCUCUGAAUGGAAAACCUUAAGAGGUCUUCAUCUUCACCACCCACGCACUCUGCCGCCUCAGCCCAAGGCGUCACCGGCGACGCCAAACGCCGUCGGAGUCACCGUCGGAGCCACCGUCGGCCGUAGCAUCGAAACCCUCUUUUGCUCUUCCUGUGCACGAAGGAAAACGACCCUGGGACGCGUGCUCCUCGUCGCCGGCGAGACCAGGACCGUUAGACGUCACCGUCGUUCACCGACGGUGGCGUUUCCAGCCAAGACGCCGGAUCUUCUCUUACUAGGCAACUUUUCAUAGACCCUUUUGAUGCUCUUAUCUUCUGUUCCCGCUGGAAACAAAGCCCCGAGCUUCGGAGUAUUGAAACCCCCAGUCUCCGUCUUUGGGUUACAGAUGAAAUUGGAUGAAAAUGCCCUCUCCUGUAUUCUUCAAAGACUCAAGAAAUCAAAACAAACACUAAGGUAAUGAUCUGAUUUUGGUUGUUGGCUUCAUUUGACGCGAGUGAAGGGCGUUCUGAAUGGAACACGCAAUGAUGUUCUCUGUGUGAGUUUUUCUGGUGGUGUUAUGCGUGUUGGCUUUGUUAAAAAGAAGAGGGUUUCAAUGUGUGUUUUUUAUUGUGCGUGUUGAAGAGGCUUGGAUAUAGUGGUGGAUGAAGACGUGAGAGUGCCCGCUGGUUUAGGUAUUAUGCGUGAGUUGGGAUGAAGGUUCUAAUGGGUGAAUGGGGUGGUUCUGGUAAAGAUGAAGAUAAUUGUUCUGUCGUCUGUUGUGAUUGUGGUUGAAGAUUAUGAGAAGUUAGUUUAUGGCUAUUUGGUAUUUCUUUAGUAGGGGAAAUUUGGGAUAGGAAGAUGAUGGAUCUGUCGUGAAUGGGUUAGGCUUUACUCUCGCAGGAAGAUGGCCUUAGCGGUUUGGAUGGUAUGAGUAAAAGUUGAUGAUGGUGAUGGGAUUGAAGAGUGGUGAAGAUUCAUACACAAGCAUAGCAAUAGCAAGUAUAAAACGCAAUAACAAGCAUAAAUUGUCGUCCAUAAUACAACAAACUUACUCUAUUAUACAUACGAAUAUGAAUAAGCGAUGAAGUUGCUUACCUCUCGGAGCUCAUGUGCUAUUGCCUAGCGUCUUCGGUGGCUUUUAUGUCGGCAUUUUUGCUCUUCCUGUAACUCAUUUUCUUCAAAUGAAGCACCACUUCUUUUUCUUUUCUUUGUGGUAUUGGACACCAAGCUCUGGCAGUGAUAGUGAUUGAUAUGGUGAGGAUGAACCGAUAGGUGGAAGCUAGCAGAUCAAGUUGAAGUUGGGUGGGAGAGAAAAAUGGUUGUUCUGAUGAUUCUACUGAGUGAGUAAAUUGGAGAAGAGAAUCCUCUCAGGGGUGAUGGUGUGUGUGAGAGACAAUGGUGUUGCCCCUUGUUUUGGAUUACAGCCUCCUGACACUCGCUUCAUCCCCUAUUGCCAGCAUUGGUUCUUACCGCAACUGGCUAAAGCUAUUGCUUCUUACUGCAGCAUAGGUCUGAGCCAAAGAUUUUCACCAAAACACUGAUAGAUGCUUCAACACGGAGGAGAUAUGAAUCUGAAUCCAAAAUCAGGUCUUGUCCAAUAUGAAAUAUCCAUCGCGGUACAAUUUUGUCCAUCAUUAAAGCCAUCCUUGAUUAAAGCAAACUUGUUCAGCCAUCAUUUUUCUCUUGCAUAAUUGUUGAUCUGUAUACAACUUUUGUUUGUACACGGUGUAUUUUGGCUUGUUUACUUUGAACACCUUGUUGGAGAGGAUCAAUCUUGUAUGUUAAUAAUGUUAAGCUGUGAUAUAUUACAGGAGAGCUUAAUUUGUA